rnacentral:rRNA from 1 species
AGAGUUUGAUCCUGGCUCAGGACGAACGCUGGCGGCGUGCCUAAUACAUGCAAGUCGUACGCUUCUUUUUCCACCGGAGCUUGCUCCACCGGAAAAAGAGGAGUGGCGAACGGGUGAGUAACACGUGGGUAACCUGCCCAUCAGAAGGGGAUAACACUUGGAAACAGGUGCUAAUACCGUAUAACAAUCGAAACCGCAUGGUUUUGAUUUGAAAGGCGCUUUCGGGUGUCGCUGAUGGAUGGACCCGCGGUGCAUUAGCUAGUUGGUGAGGUAACGGCUCACCAAGGCCACGAUGCAUAGCCGACCUGAGAGGGUGAUCGGCCACAUUGGGACUGAGACACGGCCCAAACUCCUACGGGAGGCAGCAGUAGGGAAUCUUCGGCAAUGGACGAAAGUCUGACCGAGCAACGCCGCGUGAGUGAAGAAGGUUUUCGGAUCGUAAAACUCUGUUGUUAGAGAAGAAUAAGGAUGAGAGUAACUGUUCAUCCCUUGACGGUAUCUAACCAGAAAGCCACGGCUAACUACGUGCCAGCAGCCGCGGUAAUACGUAGGUGGCAAGCGUUGUCCGGAUUUAUUGGGCGUAAAGCGAGCGCAGGCGGUUUCUUAAGUCUGAUGUGAAAGCCCCCGGCUCAACCGGGGAGGGUCAUUGGAAACUGGGAGACUUGAGUGCAGAAGAGGAGAGUGGAAUUCCAUGUGUAGCGGUGAAAUGCGUAGAUAUAUGGAGGAACACCAGUGGCGAAGGCGGCUCUCUGGUCUGUAACUGACGCUGAGGCUCGAAAGCGUGGGGAGCAAACAGGAUUAGAUACCCUGGUAGUCCACGCCGUAAACGAUGAGUGCUAAGUGUUGGAGGGUUUCCGCCCUUCAGUGCUGCAGCUAACGCAUUAAGCACUCCGCCUGGGGAGUACGACCGCAAGGUUGAAACUCAAAGGAAUUGACGGGGGCCCGCACAAGCGGUGGAGCAUGUGGUUUAAUUCGAAGCAACGCGAAGAACCUUACCAGGUCUUGACAUCCUUUGACCACUCUAGAGAUAGAGCUUCCCCUUCGGGGGCAAAGUGACAGGUGGUGCAUGGUUGUCGUCAGCUCGUGUCGUGAGAUGUUGGGUUAAGUCCCGCAACGAGCGCAACCCUUAUUGUUAGUUGCCAUCAUUCAGUUGGGCACUCUAGCAAGACUGCCGGUGACAAACCGGAGGAAGGUGGGGAUGACGUCAAAUCAUCAUGCCCCUUAUGACCUGGGCUACACACGUGCUACAAUGGGAAGUACAACGAGUUGCGAAGUCGCGAGGC